GGGUAAAUGGCGAAAUUGGUAGACGCGUUACAUUCAAAAUGUAAUGAUUUUUUCUUAAGGGUUCGAGUCCCUUUUUACCUA
rnacentral:tRNA from 1 species